rnacentral:misc_RNA from 1 species
GCCACAUUUACACAACAAGGAAAGAAAAUGCCACCCAUGCACUGGCAACUCAAAUUAUGCCUAUAAAAUUUGCUUGUUUGUGAAUAUAGGAACCAUAUACGACAUAUAUACAUCUAACCCUCUUGAGAACUUGCCCACUACUUCAAGCUUUCCAUUUAUCACCUUAAAUUUAAUUCUUGAUUGGUGCCGUGUUUGAUAAAGUUGAAUGACACAAAAUAAUUCAUAUAGAUGAUCCCAACUAAUUUGUGAUUAAAGUUUAGUUGUUGUUGCUAGUAUCAAACAAGCAACUAUUAGGUUUAGUGACAUAUGUCAUUUAGAGACUUGAUU